rnacentral:rRNA from 1 species
UACGUAGGGUGCGAGCGUUGUCCGGAAUUAUUGGGCGUAAAGAGCUCGUAGGCGGCUUGUCGCGUCGGAUGUGAAAGCCCGGGGCUUAACUCCGGGUCUGCAUUCGAUACGGGCAGGCUAGAGUUCGGUAGGGGAGAUCGGAAUUCCUGGUGUAGCGGUGAAUGCGCAGAUAUCAGGAGGAACACCGGUGGCGAAGGCGGAUCUCUGGGCCGAUACUGACGCUGAGGUGCGAAAGCGUGGGGAGCGAACAGG